GGGGGGGCGCAAUUAGUUAGUUGGUAGGGUAAAAGCCUACCAAGACGAUGAUGUUUAGCGGGGCCAAGAGGUUGUACCGCCACACUGGGAUUGAGAUACGGCCCAGACUCCUACGGGAGGCAGCAGUAAGGAAUAUUCCACAAUAAGCGAAAGCUUGAUGGAGCGACACAGCGUGCAGGAUGAAGUCUUUCGGGAUGUAAACUGCUGUUGUAAGGGAAGAAAAAACUAGAUAGGAAAUGCUCUAGUCUUGACGGUACCUUAUUAGAAAGCGACGGCAAACUAUGUGCCAGCAGCCGCGGUAAUACAUAGGUCGCAAGCGUUAUCCGGAAUUAUUGGGCGUAAAGCGUCCGUAGGUUUUUUGUUAAGUUUAAAGUUAAAUGCUAAAGCUCAACUUUAGUCCGCUUUAGAUACUGGCAAAAUAGAAUUAUGAAGAGGUUAGCGGAAUUCCUAGUGGAGUGGUGGAAUACGUAGAUAUUAGGAAGAACACCAAUAGGCGAAGGCAGCUAACUGGUCAUAUAUUGACACUAAGGGACGAAAGCGUGGGGAGCAAACAGGAUUAGAUACCCUGGUAGUCCACGCCGUAAACGAUGAUCAUUAGUUGGUGGCAAAGCCCAAAAACCAAAAAUAA
rnacentral:rRNA from 2 species